GGCGCACGGGUGCGUAACGCGUGGGAAUCUGCCCUUGGGUUCGGAAUAACAGCGAGAAAUUGCUGCUAAUACCGGAUGAUGACGUAAGUCCAAAGAUUUAUCGCCCAGGGAUGAGCCCGCGUAGGAUUAGCUAGUUGGUGGGGUAAAGGCCUACCAAGGCGACGAUCCUUAGCUGGUCUGAGAGGAUGAUCAGCCACACUGGGACUGAGACACGGCCCAGACUCCUACGGGAGGCAGCAGUGGGGAAUAUUGGACAAUGGGCGAAAGCCUGAUCCAGCAAUGCCGCGUGAGUGAUGAAGGCCCUAGGGUUGUAAAGCUCUUUUACCCGGGAUGAUAAUGACAGUACCGGGAGAAUAAGCUCCGGCUAACUCCGUGCCAGCAGCCGCGGUAAU
rnacentral:rRNA from 1 species